rnacentral:rRNA from 1 species
GUCUUUUUGAGUUAUUUUUAAAGUCUGACCUGCCCACUGAUAAUAAAUUAAAUGGCCGCAGUAUUCUAACUGUGCAAAGGUAGCAUAAUCAUUAGUCUUUUAAUUGAAGGCUGGAAUGAACGGUUGGACGAGGUAUAAGCUGUUUCAUAAAAAUUUAUAUUAGAAUUUUAUUUUUUAGUCAAAAAGCUAAAAUUUAUAUAAAAGACGAGAAGACCCUAUAAAUCUUUAUAUUUGUUUUUAUUUAAAUUUUUUUGAUUUAGUUUAUUUUUAUAGAAUAAAAUAUUUUGUUGGGGUGAUAUUAAAAUUUAAUUAACUUUUAAUUAUAAAAAAUCAUUAAUUUAUGAAUUGUUGAUCCUUUAUUAUUGAUUAUAAGAUUAAGUUACUUUAGGGAUAACAGCGUAAUUUUUUUUGAGAGUUCUUAUCGAUAAAAAAGUUUGCGACCUCGAUGUUGGAUUAAGAUAUAUUUUUAGGUGUAGUCGCUUAAAUAUUAAGUCUGUUCGACUUUUAAAUUCUU